UAACCCAGAGAACUGAAACAUCUCAGUACCUGGAGGAAGAGAAAGAAAACUCGAUUUCGUCAGUAGCGGCGAGCGAAAGCGAAAUAGCCCAAACCGUGGGGAUUUUCCUCACGGGGUUGUAGGGUCUCUCACAUGGGAGUUACAAAGCAAUCUGCUAGUUGAACGACAUGGAAAGGUCGGCCACAGACGGUGACAGCCCGGUAAACGAAAGCGGAAUUGCCUCCCGAGAGAUACCUGAGUAGGUUCAGGCACGUGAAACCUGGACUGAAUCCACGGGGACCAUCCCGUAAGGCUAAAUACUCUCUGAUAACCGAUAGCGAACUCAGUAUGGCGACUGAAAGAUGAGAAGAACCCCUGUU
rnacentral:rRNA from 1 species